rnacentral:tRNA from 1 species
GGCCCGUUGGUCAAGCGGUUAAGACACUGCCCUUUCACGGCGGUAACACGGGUUCGAAUCCCGUACGGGUCAUCA